rnacentral:rRNA from 1 species
CAUGCAAGUCGAGCGCACCCUUCAGGGCGAGCGGCGGACGGGUUAGUAACGCGUGGGAAUGUACCCUUCUCUAUGGAAUAGCCUCGGGAAACUGAGAGUAAUACCAUAUACGCCCUUCGGGGGAAAGAUUUAUCGGAGAAGGAGCAGCCCGCGUAAGAUUAGAUAGUUGGUGGGGUAAUGGCCGACCCCGUCUACCAUCUUUAGCUGGUUUUAGAGGAUGAUCACCAACGCUGGGACUGAUACACGGCCCAAACUCCUACGGGAGGCAGCAGUGGGGAAUCUUAGACCAUGGGCGCAAGCCUGAGCUACCCAUGCCGCGUGUGUGAUGAGGGCCUUAGGGUCAUAGAGCACUUUCGCCAGGGAUGAUAAUGACAGUACCUGGUAAAGAAACCCCGGCUAACUCCGUGCCAGCAGCCGCGGUAAUACCGAGGGGGUUAGCGUUGUUCGGAAUUACUGGGCGUAAAGCGCACGUAGGCGGAUCAGAAAGUUGGGGGUGAAAUCCCGGGGCUCAGCCCUGGAACUGCCUCCGAAAGUCCUGGCCUUGAGUUCGAGAGAGGUGAGUGGAAUUCCGAGUGUCGAGGUGAAAUUCGUAGAUAUUCGGAAGAACACCAGUGGCAAAGGCGGCUCACUGUCUCGAUACUGACGCUGAAGUGCGAAAGGGUGGGGGAGACAACCGGGAUU